GGGCUGACAGGCUAAAUCCACACCAUACCUGGUACCAAGUUCUGGUGGGCUGACAGGCCAAAUCCACACCUAACCUGGUACCAAGUUCUGGUGGGCUGACAGGCCAAUCCACACCUAACCUGGUACCAAGUUCUGGUGGGCUGACAGGCCAAAUCACACCAACCUGGUACCAUGUUCUGGUGGGUGACAGGCCAAUCCACACCUAACCUGGUACCUGUUCUGGUGGGCUGACAGGCCAAUCCACACCAUACCUGGUACCAAGGUUCUGGUGGGCUGACAGGCCAAAUCCACACCAUACCUGGUACCAAGUUCUGGUGGGCUGACAGGCCAAAUCCACACCAUACCUGGUACCAGUUUGGUGGGCUGACAGGCCAAAUCCACACCACACCUGUACCAAGUUCUGGUGGGCUUACAGGCCAAAUCCACACCUAACCUGGUACCAAGUUCUGGUGGGCUGACGGGCCAAAUCCACACCUAACCUGGUAUCUUCACGUCAAAAUGAAUCUUUUUUCCAAAUUACUCAAUUUUUUCCCCCAUGAUUAUGGUUCAGCUAUUCUGCUUUGAGUCAAUGGAAGUAGGGCUUGUCUUUUACACCAAAACCGUGUCAAUACAAUAAUAUAUAUGAAGAGGUGUUAUGGGAAACACAUUUAAUCAUAUGGAGUUGGUGUGCAGUAGAUGUACAGUCUUGUUUCUUGUGAGAUGGUAAUCCACUAGGUCAGUGGGGCACGCAAGAUUUGGCCCCCUAUUCUCUAUAUUAGUGCACUUACCCGGGUUUAAAAAAGUAGUUCACUAUGUAGGGGAUAGUGUGCCGUUUGGGAGGUGUGCUGAGAUCCAUGUGAGUCGUGUACAGGAUGUUUUGAAGUGUUUCAGCCCGGGCUGAGUUGAGUUCACUCCAGUGUUUUCUUAAAGAGGCGUCUUAAUAUAGAGGAAGCGUCUCCAUGGAUAUAAAGGGGAAAUGUCAUGUGACUUCCGUCUGUCUGGGGGGGGGGGGGGGGGGGGGUCCACGAUGUUAAAGGAGUUUCUCUGACCUCCAUUUUCUCCUUCAGUCCCUUACAAUUGUGAUCCUUGAUUUAUUUAUAUUUUAAUUUGUUUUAAACCAACGUUCUUUUACAGCAGUUGUUUCAUUACUCCGUGAUGUAAAAGAUUUGCAGACCACAAUGCAAAUGUACAGUAGUAACAAUUUAUUUUAGAACCUACCACUGUAUGUAAAUAUGAUUUAAAUUAAAUAAUGAUUGAAUGUGAAUGUUUUUUCACUUUUCAUAUCCUGUGAUUCUACCAUCAUAAAA
rnacentral:lncRNA from 1 species